CAGUCGCCGCGGGAAAACGUAGGUGGCAAGCGUUGUCCGGAAUUAUUGGGCGUAAAGCGCGCGCAGGUGGUCUAAUAAGUCUGAUGUGAAAGCCCACGGCUCAACCGUGGAGGGUCAUUGGAAACUGUUAAACUUGAGUGCAGGAGAGAGAAGUGGAAUUCCUAGUGUAGCGGUGAAAUGCGUAGAGAUUAGGAGGAACACCAGUGGCGAAGGCGGCUUUUUGGCCUGUAACUGACACUGAGGCGCGAAAGCGUGGGGAGCAACAGGAUUAGAUACCCCCGUAGUCCCUGUCUCUUAUACA
rnacentral:rRNA from 1 species